AACGCGAAGAACCUUACCAGGUCUUGACAUCCACGGAAGUUUUCAGAGAUGAGAAUGUGCCUUCGGGAACCGUGAGACAGGUGCUGCAUGGCUGUCGUCAGCUCGUGUUGUGAAAUGUUGGGUUAAGUCCCGCAACGAGCGCAACCCUUAUCCUUUGUUGCCAGCGGUCCGGCCGGGAACUCAAAGGAGACUGCCAGUGAUAAACUGGAGGAAGGUGGGGAUGACGUCAAGUCAUCAUGGCCCUUACGACCAGGGCUACACACGUGCUACAAUGGCGCAUACAAAGAGAAGCGACCUCGCGAGGGCAAGCGGACCUCAUAAAGUGCGUCGUAGUCCGGAUUGGAGUCUGCAACUCGACUCCAUGAAGUCGGAAUCGCUAGUAAUCGUGGAUCAGAAUGCCACGGUGAAUACGUUCCCGGGUCUUGUACACACCG
rnacentral:rRNA from 1 species